UACAGAGGUGGCAAGCGUUGUUCGGAAUUACUGGGCGUAAAGGGCUCGUAGGCGGCCAACUAAGUCCGACGUGAAAUCCCAAAGCUUAACUUUGGAACUGCGUCGGAUACUGGAUGGCUUGAAUUCGGGAGAGGGAUGCAGAAUUCCAGGUGUAGCGGUGAAAUGCGUAGAUAUCUGGAGGAACACCGGUGGCGAAGGCGGCAUCCUGGACCGGCAUUGACGCUAAAGCGCGAAAGCCAGGGGAGCAAACGGG
rnacentral:rRNA from 1 species